rnacentral:rRNA from 1 species
CCUACGGGUGGCAGCAGUGGGGAAUUUUGCGCAAUGCUCGUAAGAGUGACGCAGCGACGCCGCGUGAAUGACGAAGGCUUUCGGGUUGUAAACUUCUUUUGUCAGGGAAGAGUAGAAGACGGUACCUGACGAAUAAGCCACGGCUAACUACGUGCCAGCAGCCGCGGUAAUACGUAGGUGGCAAGCGUUGUCCGGAUUUACUGGGUGUAAAGGGCGUGUAGCCGGGUUGACAAGUCAGAUGUGAAAUCCUGCGGCUUAACCGCAGAACUGCAUUUGAAACUGUUGAUCUUGAGUACUGGAGAGGCAGAUGGAAUUCCUAGUGUAGCGGUGAAAUGCGUAGAUAUUAGGAGGAACACCAGUGGCGAAGGCGGUCUGCUGGACAGCAACUGACGGUGAGGCGCGAAAGCGUGGGGAGCAAACAGGAUUAGAUACCCCUGUAGUC